GACAGAGGGUGCAAACGUUGUUCGGAAUUACUGGGCGUAAAGCGCGUGUAGGCAGCUCGGAAAGUCGGGUGUGAAAGCCCUGGGCUUAACCUAGGAAGUGCACUCGAAACUUCCGAGCUUGAGUUCUGGAGAGGAAGGCGGAAUUCUCGGUGUAGAGGUGAAAUUCGUAGAUAUCGAGAGGAACACCGGUGGCGAAGGCGGCGAUCUGGGUCGAUACUGACACUGAGACGCGAAAGCGUGGGUAGCAAACAGG
rnacentral:rRNA from 1 species